rnacentral:lncRNA from 1 species
AGAAGAAUGGGUUACGUCCCUAAAGUUACGUAGCCUCUCGUCCCUCACCACGUUGUGACACUACGCAGGCUACAGCCAUGCUAUAAGCACGACGUGUUGAGCUAAACUGAACAAAAGAAGACACGUAGCUAGGCUAAUCUGUCGCACCGGUAAUUUCCACACAUGUCAAGAAGGCUGAAAUUCGGGCUCCUAGUUUUGCUGGGCAGCCUCUGGAUGUGGCCAAAUAACGUUGUCGCCGGGAACUCAGAAAACGUUCAAUUAAUUUGCCGAGAGAGCCUGGACGCAGCGGUCGGAGACAACGUCACUUUGGACUUCCACCUCGAGCCUGGAUCCGAUGCGACACAGUGGACAGCCUUUGUUUUUAAAUGCGAACAAAGUUCCGACAAUGUCCUGGUUUACAGAAGUGGAGGUUUUUCUGAUGAAGAUCAGGCAAACCGAUUCCGUGGCAGAGUAUCUCCUGACAGCAGCUGGGAACUAAGAGAAGGGCAACUAGCGUGGAAAAUCUCCCCAUUUGGAGAAAGUGACGCGGGAACAUACAAAUGCAUUGUUCGAACUAGAACUAGAACUCACCAACUCCCCUGUUCUACUGGACUGAAGAUCAAACAGUUCCAUCCACAUGAAGAAAGCAACACCACUGUAGUCAAUCCAUCAGAUGGUUACCAGCGACAUAAUACCAGCUCUUUGAUACCCAAAAAGCCAACAGAUGGUAACAACACUGGCUCUACCAACACUUUGUUUGCCGGGGCCAUCGCCGCCAUAGUCACAGCUGUUAUCAUCAGCAUCAUCAUCGCCAUCAUCUUCAUCGCUGG